rnacentral:rRNA from 1 species
CCUACGGGAGGCAGCAGUGGGGAAUCUUGCGCAAUGGGCGAAAGCCUGACGCAGCCAUGCCGCGUGAAUGAUGAAGGUCUUAGGAUUGUAAAAUUCUUUCACCGGGGACGAUAAUGACGGUACCCGGAGAAGAAGCCCCGGCUAACUUCGUGCCAGCAGCCGCGGUAAUACGAAGGGGGCUAGCGUUGCUCGGAAUUACUGGGCGUAAAGGGAGCGUAGGCGGAUAGUUUAGUCAGAGGUGAAAGCCCAGGGCUCAACCUUGGAAUUGCCUUUGAUACUGGCUAUCUUGAGUUUGGGAGAGGUGAGUGGAACUCCGAGUGUAGAGGUGAAAUUCGUAGAUAUUCGGAAGAACACCAGUGGCGAAGGCGACUCACUGGCCCAAUACUGACGCUGAGGCUCGAAAGCGUGGGGAGCAAACAGGAUUAGAUACCCUGGUAGUCCACGCCGUAAACGAUGAGUGCUAGUUGUCGGCAUGCAUGCAUGUCGGUGACGCAGCUACGCAUAAGACACUCCGCCGUCGGGGAGGUACGGUCGCGAGAUUAAACUACAAUAGAAGUUAGUACGGCGUGAGACGUGCCGACGGACGACGACGAGGGAGUUAGG